AGAGCAUCCCAGGCAGCUAGAAGAACAAAGGCAAAGAUACCAAAGGACAAAUACUCUAAGAAUGAGUCAUCCAAGUCCAGUGACAGGACAAAAGUCAGGACUCAGGAGGCAGUGGAUGACCUUGGCAACGUUAAUAUUUGAUUCAACAAUGCCUGUUUCAUCCACUUUGAUGGUUAUUAGAACAAAUUAUUCUCAUCUUCUGUUGGAAGAAGUCUUCACAUGCCUGGGGUAGACAUCCUUCUAAGGAUUCUGCAUGGGGUGGGAGGAGAGUCCUCACAUGCUUGGGGUAGACACACCCCUAAUUCUCCUAAGAUUUGAGUCCUUUCUGCCCAGAUGGUUUUACUAGGGUGUGAUUGCAUGCCACAGCUUCUUGGAGCCACUGGUGAGAGCUAGGUAGAGAAGAAGGAAAAAAUUCUGAAAAGGAAGAAAGAAGUUCUAAAAAAAAAAAAGGCUUAACAAGCCUUCACAUCAGAUGUACCAGUUUUCCUUGAACUCCCUAUAUACCCCCACAUAGUUCAGUUUCCUUAUCAAUAAAAUGGGGAUAAUAAUUAUAUCUAAUUCCUGU
rnacentral:lncRNA from 1 species